AUUGAACGCUGGCGGCAUGCUUUACACAUGCAAGUCGAACGGCAGCGCGGGGCAACCUGGCGGCGAGUGGCGAACGGGUGAGUAAUACAUCGGAACGUACCCAGAAGUGGGGGAUAACGUAGCGAAAGUUACGCUAAUACCGCAUACGUUCUACGGAGGAAAGUGGGGGACCUUCGGGCCUCAUGCUUUUGGAGCGGCCGAAGUCUGAUGAGCUAGUUGGUGAGGUAAAGGCUCACCAAGGCGACGAUCAGUAGCUGGUCUGAGAGGACGACCAGCCACACUGGGACUGAGACACGGCCCAGACUCCUACGGGAGGCAGCAGUGGGGAAUUUUGGACAAUGGGCGCAAGCCUGAUCCAGCAAUGCCGCGUGAGUGAAGAAGGCCUUCGGGUUGUAAAGCUCUUUUGUCAGGGAAGAAACGGCUGAGGUUAAUACCUUCGGCUAAUGACGGUACCUGAAGAAUAAGCACCGGCUAACUACGUGCCAGCAGCCGCCGUAAGAC
rnacentral:rRNA from 1 species